rnacentral:sRNA from 1 species
UCAACGAGAACAGAAAUCUCGU